UCGCCAAUCCACAGAAGCCCACCAGCCCACUUGUUCACCUCAGACACUGCGCGCCUCACAGAGGAAGCCAGAAACCACGUAUCUGCUCACCAUGUGCUGCCUCCCUGGCUCACUGUGGAUAUAAUGGGUUUACUCUGGCAACCUCGGCCUGGCAGCUUUGUGAAAGAACUCCCUUACUCCUCUGCUGUGAGAAUUGCUGAAAGAAGCUUUGCAAAAAUAUGGAGACUGCUGUGAAUAUACCGUACUCUCUGAAUGGAGCUGUGUCCCCAAGUUUUACCACCUAGUGACUCUUAACCUAUGAGGGUAAAGAAUGAGCGGAAUGGAUAGAGGCACAUCUUACUGGCCAUCACAGAUGCUAACAAAGUGACAAGGGAUGGGGCAGAAGGCCCUGAGGCCAGCUGCUGUAAU